CUACGGGAGGCAGCAGUGAGGAAUAUUGCACAAUGGGGGGAACCCUGAUGCAGCAACGCCGCGUGGAGGAUGACGCAUUUCGGUGUGUAAACUCCUUUUAUAUGUCAAGAAAAUGACGGUAACAUAUGAAUAAGCACCGGCUAACUCCGUGCCAGCAGCCGCGGUAAUACGGAGGGUGCAAGCGUUACUCGGAAUCACUGGGCGUAAAGGACGCGUAGGCGGGUUGGAAAGUCAGGUGUGAAAUCCUACAGCUUAACUGUAGAACUGCACUUGAAACUUCUAAUCUAGAGUAUGGGAGGGGGAGAUGGAAUUAGUGGUGUAGGGGUAAUAUCCGUAGAUAUCACUAGGAAUACCUAAAGCGAAGGCGAUCUCCUGGAACAUUACUGACGCUAAGGCGUGAAAGCGUGGGGAGCAAACAGGAUUAGAUACCCUCGUAGUC
rnacentral:rRNA from 1 species